UACGUAGGGCGCAAGCGUUGUCCGGAAUUAUUGGGCGUAAAGAGCUCGUAGGCGGUCUGUUGCGUCUGCCGUGAAAACCCGCGAGCUUAACCUCGGGCCUGCGGUGGAUACGGGCAGACUAGAGGUAGGUAGGGGGAGAAUGGAAUUCCCGGUGUAGCGGUGAAAUGCGCAGAUAUCAGGAGGAACACCGGUGGCGAAGGCGGGUCUCUGGGCCGAUACUGACGCUGAGGAGCGAAAGCGUGGGGGAGCGAACAGG
rnacentral:rRNA from 1 species